rnacentral:rRNA from 1 species
GACGAACGCUGGCGGCGUGCUUAACACAUGCAAGUCGAACGGAAAGGCCCUGCUUUUGUGGGGUGCUCGAGUGGCGAACGGGUGAGUAACACGUGAGUAACCUGCCCUUGACUUUGGGAUAACUUCAGGAAACUGGGGCUAAUACCGGAUAGGAGCUCCUGCUGCAUGGUGGGGGUUGGAAAGUUUCGGCGGUUGGGGAUGGACUCGCGGCUUAUCAGCUUGCUGGUGGGGUAGUGGCUUACCAAGGCGAUGACGGGUAGCCGGCCUGAGAGGGUGACCGGCGACGGUGGGCCUAAGAGACGGCCCAGACUCCUACGGGAGGCAGCAGUGGGGAUUAGUGCACGAAGGGCAGAAGACAUAUGCAGCAACGGCGCGUGCGGGAUGACGGCCUUCGGGUUGUAAACCGCUUUCGACUGUGACGAAGAGUGAGUGACGGUAAUGGGUAAAGAAGCACCGGCUAACUACGUG